UCCCUGGUAGCUCAGUGGUAAAGAAUCUGCCUGAGAUGCAGGAGACUCAGGUUCGAUCCCUGGGUUGGGAA
rnacentral:tRNA from 1 species